rnacentral:rRNA from 1 species
AGGACGAACGCUGGCGGCGUGCCUAACACAUGCAAGUCGAACGGGACCAGGGGCAACUCUGGUUCAGUGGCGGACGGGUGCGUAACACGUGAGGAACAUGACCUUCGGCGGGGGAUAGCCGGCCCAACGGCCGGGUAAUACCGCGUACGACCACAUGGGGACAUCCCUGAGUGGUGAAAGCAGCAAUGCGCCGAUGGAGUGCCUCGCGGCCUAUCAGCUAGUUGUGAGGUAACGCUCACCAAGGCAACGACGGGUAGC